AAGCUUCACAUUAACUAGAAGCAUCAUAUCGCCAAGCGCAGCGUGAAAAAUUUCAACUUCAGCUAGAACCAAUGCUCCUCCAGCUUAUUGGGAGGCACAGCGACCCAUCAUCAUUUGAUACUCAUCAACUUUAACCGGAAUUUGAAUUACUUUUAAGGUCAAAGUUCCAAAACCUGGCUACAGAAGGUACCCCCCCUCCCAAAAAACUACAAUAGGGGUACCAUAACAAAGAACUUCCAUUGGAAUGAAACUAUUACAUCAUAGACCAGGAGAACACAGCUAAUCUCCGACUAGACUCUCACCAAAGAAACAGUAACGCAUGAACACUAAAUAACUCAGAAUAAUUGACUAAAUAAACAAAGAGUACGCAUUUAUAAAAAGAAAAAUCCAGAAUUAAGUAGUAUCUGCAGAACUAAUGAAAAUGGAACAUUCAAGUUCCGCAAGCUUUUGAGAUGCCCACACAAUCGCAAUACUCCCUCCGUUUCAUAAUUUAAGAAUUUUAAGAAAAAGAACUUCUAAAACAUGUCAUCGUAAAAGAUUAAGGGGUAAAAAGUUUUUGGGCCAUACCAUUUGUGUUAUUCAUUUAGGAACAAACUAAAAAGGAAGUACCUCAAACAAUAUGAAACGGAGGGAGUAUUUCAUAAGACUAGCUAUUUUAAUUCCGCUAUUUAUCCACCAUAGCAACAUAAACCAAUUACUAUUCCAAUAUCACUACUGAUUAGUAUCUUCAUUAUCUGGAGAAUUUUAAGAUCAAACAAUCCAACUUUACAAUACCAACUGUAGUUUUAUGCUCGUUGCCCAAUCACAACUGUUACAUUAGAUGGUUCAAAUUUCAGAUUUUAUUAAAUAAACCAUAAGCUUAGGCUUACCAUAACCAAUAAAAGGUGUAAUCACCGUUUUUAUGUGACAUCGUGCAUUAAGGUCUUAUUUAGGCGCGUAAAAUUUUUUAAACCACUUAAUGGGAACAUUAAGAGAUGCUCUGGAUAAAAAAUAGCAAGUUCGCAAGCCAAUUAACGGGCGGCCAAAAUAAAUUCUAAAGUUAGUUCUAUAGAGGUGCUGCUGUUUAGAAGCUUUUAUAUAAGUUAGUGAAGGUGAUAAUUAACGCGAUCAGUUUACAAUUGAUAAACGCUACAAAAGAAUGUGAAAGUUAACUCUAACUAAGAGAAUUGAUAUUGUACCUCUAGUGGCGUGCUGCAGUAGAAUCGUUGCUUGUAUCCCUCGCCGUGGAGCACAUAGCAAAUCAACGUGAGUUACUUGUCUUUGAAUAAGACUUGCCUCAAAACACACAACAGUAAUCACAAGGCAUAUUCAACGACAAGUAACCACUGAUCGACGCAAAGUUGUUGGACGCAGGAAAAGGAAGAGCAGAGCCAAAAAGGACAAGGACACGCAAAGAGAGGAGAGCCGGGCAAAACCCCGUGCCUUCUCCUCUCCAACACCCAAAAUAGAUACUUUUAUU
rnacentral:lncRNA from 1 species